GCUCGUUUAAAAUUUUGCUGUCCACAUGUACUCUUGUCCCUUUUUAAUUUUGUGUCGAAGCACAUACGACUGGUUCUCAGAUUAUGUUAUUCCACCGACUUUUUAUGUGUGAGUAUGCCUUUGUGUUUUGUAACUCUGCGCGCGGUAAUGCAUUAUCCUCUCCUCAUAUAUAAAGAAGAUUUAUUUGGGGUUCAUUUGCAGCUCGGUCGGUGUUGUGAUGAGCCGCAGCGCAAUCACACACAUACACACACACAAAUGUGCACUCAUGCACAAUUGGCGCUCAGAAAACUCCGAAGAACACUCUAACACCCGAUGUGUAGUCUCGGAGGUCUACACCUUUUCUUUCUCCUUUUUCUCUCCAGCUCCUCUAAGUGUGUAGAAGUGGCGACGCCACAACACUCGUCUCCUUUAUCUCCUUAUUCAUGUAUAUCUGUCUAUAUACAUAGAGAGGAAAAAAAACGACAAUCCAACCGAUUCCUUGUUUUCCGCUUUUUUAUGUUUCAUGCGUCUUGUAUCUUGUGUGCCUUCUGUAUGCACACCAAAAAAAAAUUUAGUUUCUUGCCGUUCGGUCUUGCUUCGACACUGCUACUUCUUUUUCGUUGUUGUGUAUGUGCGUUACACUACCGCAUGUUUUUUUUUGUUGUUUGCUUCUCCCCCCCCCUCUUUUUUGUUAGUGGGGUGGAUGGUGUGUGGAUGGUGGAUGAUGGGUGCCUCCUUUUUGUUGCUGUUUGUUGUUGUUUGAUUCGAUAUUGACGGAGAGCCGUGUAUGUCAUUUUUGUUGUUGUUGCGUCUAUCAUGAUUGUUCGUAUACUAUUUUUUUCAUGGUGUACGUGUAUACAUAAAACGAAAUCUUUUCUUGCUCGGUGAAAAGUUGGACUGUAAAGGCGGGAGAACCUACAGCGAGGUAGAGGAGCUUAGUGUGUUGUGAUAGUGAACCAGCCCCCCUCCCCCUCCCAAUAUCGUCAGUCGAACAAACGGACGAAUCUAGUUACCGUGUGUUGAUGGUCAGCAUGCCUGUAACGCUACACGGCAUACUUC
rnacentral:misc_RNA from 1 species